rnacentral:rRNA from 1 species
GACGAACGCUGGCGGCGUGCCUAACACAUGCAAGUCGAGCGGAGGUACUGGAGGAGUAAUCUGAGAGUACCUGAGCGGCGGACGGGUGAGUAACGCGUGAGCAACCUGCCUUUCACAGGGGGAUAACGCAGCGAAAGCUGCACUAAUACCGCAUGAGACCACGGUGGAGAUACCGCAGGGGUCAAAGGAGCAAUCCGGUGAGAGAUGGGGCUCGCGUCCGAUUAGGUAGUUGGUGAGGUAAAGGCCCACCAAGCCAAUGAUCGGUAGCCGGCCUGAGAGGGUGAACGGCCACAUUGGAACUGAGAGACGGUCCAAACUCCUACGGGAGGCAGCAGUGGGGAAUAUUGGGCAAUGGGGGGAAACCCUGACCCAGCAACGCCGCGUGAGGGAAGAAGGUUUUCGGAUUGUAAACCUCUAGUUCUUGGUGAAGAGAAGAAGACGGUAGCCAAGGAGGAAGCCCCGGNUAACUACGUG